UUUGAUUCAAAGUGAGAAUAUUAAUUUAAUGAUGAAAAUAAUCUUAUACAGCAUGAAAAACUUGUCUCACAUAGACUUCACCAAUAAAAACCAUAGAUACAAAUUUAAGAUUCAGUUUAAUCAAAGAUUCUAUUAUGUCAAGAUCAAGAAACCAAUGGAUAAAUCUCAGCAUUACACAAUCGGCUACAUAGGGUUGAGUUAGCCCAUAGUCAAGUGGAUAAAUCAUGACUUUGAAGCAUCUCAACCACUUGACUCAUAGUAGGUCUAAUAUCCCUAUCUUCCUCAACACAGU
rnacentral:lncRNA from 1 species